CGGUAAUACAUGCCGUUGUCUUCUCUACUCACCAAUCCUCCAAAGAACAACAACCCAAAAACAAAAACAAAAAGAGAGAAAUACAGAAAGAGAGACCUGAAGGAUUGACGACGAAAACGAGGUCACGUCGGCUUUGCCCUCCUUUUUUCUCCCGUCAUUGUUCUACAGGCUUCUCAUUCCAUUGUUGCCAUCAAAAUUAUCUUGAGAGAGAGAGAGAGAAAUAGCGUGUGUUUUUUUGCUUUGUGCGAAGAGAUAGAGAGCUCGAUUGUUGCUGCAAUCACGGAAAGUGAUCUUACAGCCAAGUACUGUUCGAGAUCUUCCAUCAACAUCAAUCUCCAUAGAAACUGGCCUGGGUUUUAACCUUUCAACGAUUCCAAGAUCCAACUUUUUUGGAGAUUCUGAAGGAAAAGGAUUCGGUUGAAAAGAAAUAAAAUAGGUUUGACACAAGAUCAGUUACUACAUUCGCUGAACAAAAGUUCUCCAGAUUCAAGUAAAAAUAGGUCCCUAGGUUGUAAAAGUAGCUGAUCCAUUCUAAAAGCCGAUCUCCAAUACUAUUUGCAUGAACAAAGAUGUAGUUAAGGAAUUUGACCCUUAUUUUAUUCCCCAAUGUCUUUGCAGGUUGAUAAGGUGAGCAAUCCUGACAGCAUCCGAAUAGAACCAGAAAAGAGAUGAUGUUGUAUUGUUGUUUGCAUAUCAGCUCUGAGUGGCCAGGGCUUAAAUGAUUGCUGCAGUGCAAUCCAAGCAAAAUUGAAGGACGCUAAUGGUACCGGUGGAAGCCUUGAUCCUAUUUGAAAAAGGAGAGCUUCACGAAGCACAUUAUGAAAUUGUUUUACAUCGGAUCGUCCAAGGUGUCAUCGACAAAAAAAAAAAAAAAAAAAGAACCAUGACUCUAUUAACAAGCAGCUGUUCAAAUUAACCCCUACCAAAAUCCAAUGAGUGUGAUUGUGGAAUCCUUGAAGCCCUGAAGGUGGUUAGCUUGCAAGAAUUUGCCUCAAUUUUGGAGCCUAACCUCUGCAGAAUCGUAUGUCCAGAACUACAAGGAAAAGGAGAAGUUGGAGCAUAGGUUCUGAAGUGCACAGUUGGAGAAGGAGGAUGAGAGGCAGAGCUUUCAGCAACAUUUUUUGGGGAUUUACAGAUAGAAAACGGACACAUAUCUUGAGGAAGAUGGAGGAAGAAAAGUACCUUGUAUUAUCUUGUAAACUCUUGUAUAAGAGCUUCAUUGCUUUUGUAACAUUCAUGAGAAAAAUCAAAAUUUAACAUUCCCUUUUCAAUAUGUUUAAU